rnacentral:piRNA from 1 species
UGGUUUCCCGGGCUGUGAGAUGCUCACAU